UACGGGGGGAGCAAGCGUUGUUCGGAUUUACUGGGCGUAAAGGGCGCGUAGGCGGCCACCGCAAGUCGACUGUGAAAUCUCCGGGCUUAACCCGGAAAGGUCAGCCGAUACUGCGGGGCUAGAGUGCAGAAGGGGCAACUGGAAUUCUCGGUGUAGCGGUGAAAUGCGUAGAUAUCGAGAGGAACACCAGUGGCGAAGGCGAGUCUCUGGACGACACCUGACGCUGAGGCACGAAAGUCAGGGGAGCAAACGGG
rnacentral:rRNA from 1 species